rnacentral:lncRNA from 1 species
AUAUAAAAGGCUGCCUGGUAGCUAGUAAUUUAGAAAUUAGAUCAAGGAAUGUGAAAUAGACAUGCAGAAGUUACCACAUAGAUUCCUUUCAACACAGAUAAAGUUUGGAAUGGUAAAAAAAGUGACAUUAGAAACCGAAUUCAAGUGUCCUUUGUAUUGAUCACUGGACAGGACGAUAUUAUAUUCAUUAAGUCUUGGACUCGGUACGGCCCGACAUGCCUAGAGAGCACAUUUCCUCUGAUGCACAUAAGAAAUACGACAGUAAAAGACACAAGUCGUGCUGAGAUACUGAUUAUGUCGGCGUAUUUUGCCAACGACACAUUCAAUACAGCUUUCAAGUGAUAUAGCCUCCAUGGUAGACCGCAAUCAACCAGUAUGAGAUGUUGAUUCUCCCGAACAGGUUAGCAGACACGAAACAUUAAGAAUGAAGAGAAGACACAUACAACAAGACUCUGAUGGCAAAUCAGUUUCAACCUGGAAGACAACUCUGGGUUGUGUGUGGGGUUCGAAGCUGCAGAAUUCAACAACUAGGCAGGGAACAAAACAAAUGUUCCAGCAUCUCGCAAUCCUCCUUCAAUUUGUCGACGGCACUGAAGGCAAUCCACGUUAAUGAGCCUCUUAUUCACCUCGCUCCUUGUUAGGAUAAGUGAAAAGGUAGGUCAGAACAGAGUAGAGAUCUGCGGGGAGCAACAUGAGGGGAGGGGAGGGGACGAACGAGUGAGCACCUCGAGAGGCGGAGGGGGUAUGCGGAAGGUGAGGGCGAGGCUGAUAUGUCGCAGCGCAGGAUGAAGCGGGACUCGCCGCGCCGUGCUUGCCCUGCUGAUGCCGGUGGUCGCCACGGCCAUGGGCGGACGGGCGGCCGGCCGGCCGGAGUGGGGUGGUGAUGAGUUCGGGAGAAUCGCUGUGCCGCCGGCGCGAGGGAGCCCGGCUGGCUGUACAAGGGUUGGCGCGGCGCGGUGGCGGUGGUGAUCCGGCCGGCGUGGCUGCCUCGUCGUCUCCACACUCUGCAGAGAGACAGAUGCAAACCGAAACAGGCAAG